rnacentral:rRNA from 1 species
AGUGAACGCUGGCGGUAGGCCUAACACAUGCAAGUCGAACGGCAGCACAGUAAGAGCUUGCUCUUACGGUUGGCGAGUGGCGGACGGGUGAGGAAUACAUCGGAAUCUACUUUUUCGUGGGGGAUUACGUAGGGAAACUUACGCUACUACCGCAUACUACCUACGGGUUAAAGCAGGGGAUCUUCGGACCUUGCGCGUUUGUAUGAGCCGAUGUCGGAUUAGCUAGUUGGCGGGGUAAAGGCCCACCAAGGCGACGAUCCGUAGCUGGUCUGAGAGGAUGAUCAGCCACACUGGGACUGAGACACGGUCCAGACUCCUACGGGAGGCAGCAGUGGGGAAUAUUGGACAAUGGGCGCAAGCCUGAUCCAGCCAUACCGCGUGGGUGAAGAAGGCCUUCGGGUUGUAAAGCCCUUUUGUUGGGAAAGAAAAGCAGCAGGUUAAUACCCCGCUGUUCUGACGGUACCCAAAGAAUAAGCACCGGCUAACUUCGUG